rnacentral:rRNA from 1 species
CGUCCCCCUAUCCCUCCCCGAUUUCGGUUUGAGACAUUUUGGUUGUCCCAAACUGGCUUCGUCGAGGCUGUUGGCGCUCGUUGGGCGGAGGCCCGCGCCCAACCUCAGUCCCAAUCUCGCCCCCCCUUCGCCAUCAACUCGUGGCAUUUCUGUGCCAAGCGAGGCCGACAGUUCAUGAAGGGGUGGGGCGCCAACCUGGGGCGCGACCUCCGCGAGCGCAAGAAGGCCCUGAUGUCUGCUAUCCAGGCCCAGGACCUGCGCGCCAACGCGACCGGCCUCUCUCCUGAGGAGUGGCUUUCCCAUUAUGACUUGGAAGACCAACUUUCUAUCAUCUACUCCGAUGAGGAGGCCUACUGGUGUUUGCGUGGUGCCCAGAAAUGGGUACUGAAGGGCGAUGCGAACACGACUUACUUCCAGGCCAUAGCGAAUGGCCGUCGUAGACGCAACACCAUCCCCCUCCUCUGGGAUGGCCCGACUCUCCUGCAGUCCCCGCGUGACAUUAGAUCCCACGUUGACGGGUUCUAUAGAUCCCUGUUCGCAGCCUAUCCUCGGAGGGGCUUAUCACUGGCCCUGGAUUGUUGGUCCGGCCGCCAGCUUGUCACCGAUGCGGAGAACGCGGCCCUUACGGCCCCCUUCUCCGAGGGCGAGGUCUGGGCCGCCAUCAAAGGCAUGAACCCUACCUCGACCCCGGGCCUGGAUGGUCUCCCGGUUAAAUUCUUCCAAGCCUUCUGGAAUGUGAUCAAACCGGAGGUCAUGGCCAUCUUUGACGAGUUCUACGUUGGGUCCAUUGACCUCGGGCGCCUCAACUAUGGGACUAUUUCGCUUAUCCCCAAGGUUCCUGGGGCGUCUGACAUCCGUCAGUUUCGCCCGAUCACGGUGAUAAAUGUGAUCUUCCGGAUUCUGGCAAAAGGGUGCGCCAAUAGGGUGACCCUGCUCGCGGACCACAUUACCCACCCCAACCAAUCUGCCUUCAUCCAAGGCCGAUAUAUUCUGGAUGGGGUGCAAGUCCUUCACAAAGUCCUCCAUGAGGUCCGCUCCAAACACCUCAAGGCGGUCUUCCUGAAGAUCGAUUUCCAUAAGGCCUAUGCCACUGUUAGUUGGCCCUCCUUCGGGAAGUUCUACUCCGGAAAGGCUUCGAUGACCGUUGGAUCACCAGGGUAA